rnacentral:rRNA from 1 species
GUCUACGGCCAUACCACCCUGAACACGCCCAAUCUCAUCUGAUCUCAGAAGCUAAGCAGGGCCGGGCCUACCAGUUAGUACUUGGAUGGAAGAAA